CACGUAGGGCGCAAGCGUUGUCCGGAAUUAUUGGGCGUAAAGAGCUCGUAGGCGGUUUCGUAAGUCGGGUGUGAAAACUCUAGGCUCAACCUAGAGACGCCACCCGAUACUGCGAUGACUAGAGUCCGGUAGGGGAGUGUGGAAUUCCUGGUGUAGCGGUGAAAUGCGCAGAUAUCAGGAGGAACACCAACGGCGAAGGCAGCACUCUGGGCCGGAACUGACGCUGAGGAGCGAAAGCGUGGGUAGCGAACAGG
rnacentral:rRNA from 1 species